GGAUAGAUCUGUAGCUCAGCAGUAGAGAAUCUGCUUUGCAUGCAGAAGGUCCCAGGAUCAAGCCUUGGCAUCUCCA